rnacentral:lncRNA from 1 species
GCGAAUAUAGCAUACUUAUCAACUAAAUUAUUUAUUAUCAUUGCAAUCAAAUAAUUGUCAAAAGCUCUUUAUCAUCCUAAAUCAACCACUUUGUAAACCCACGUGAUUUUGAUAUACUAUUUGUUUGCAAUUAAGAUUCUCCUCACAAUCAAAGACACUAAAAUCUGGAAAAUGUAAAAUCAUUGCAUCACUAAAACAUUCAGAUACAACACAAGAGUAUUGGAAUAAGGACGAUAAAUUAAAGUAAUAACUUGAUACUGUUCCAGAAACAGGUAAAGACCAAGAAACAAAGAAAGUCCUAUAUCAAUGAACAAUAAUUCAGAUUAAAAUACAAAGAAGAAAAAACGCUGCAAAAGAAGAAGUAAAAACCUUAGAAAUGUGAUUUGAUGGAAUUCGGCUCAUAAGGGAUCCGCUACUUGGAGAGUUUGCCUGUUUGUGUGAGACUCUCCUUUCACUUGUGAGAGCCCGGGGUGGCUACCUUGUUUGUCGAGGCAGAGGAGUCUCCGACGACGGCACAGGGACACUGGCGAGUCGAGGAGGCAAGGUUGAACGACUGUGAAUUAAAGCAAUCACAUAGACUUAAUUAACAAAAUCUAAACCAAAAAUCUGGAAAAAUAUAAAUAAAAAGGUGAAUCGCAGACAAACAGCCAUAGAAGAAGAAGAAGCUUACCGCCACGACGAAUUGUGAAAACACGAUUGUGGCGUUAAUAAUUCAAGGUAAUGAAUUUAUAGAUAAAAAUCUAGGGUUUAAGUUUCCUUUGUUAAAAUUCUUUCCAAAUUUUUUUCUUUCUAAGCAAAUGAUCAGAACUUUACAAAACGAUGGGUUUUUUCAUAAUAUAAUUCUUACCAUGUAUUGCGUGAAAGAGUGGGAGGAGCCGACGAUUUCGCCGACCCCAAGGAAAAUGGUGGAGGCGGGCGAUUGAGUGGAUGCAGCAGAAUUGUUAGUGAACUAAUAAAUUUAUAACUAAAAAAUCUAGGUUUUAAAAUUUCUAUUGUUAAACAUUUACCUUGUAUAUACUUUUAAUCUUUCCAAAAAAAGUUCUUUCUAAAGUAGAGAAAUCAUUCUAUAUUUACCAUUGUAAUCUUUCCUAAUAGAAAACUUACCAUGGAGGAGAAAAACUUACCAUGGGUAGAUCGAUGCAGGGCCGACGCCGCGAAUCGCGGUGGGGGAGGGAGAAAGGGAGGUGGCAGAUCGCGGCGGACGUCAGCGGGGCGAAUCGUGGUGGGGGAAGUGCAGUUUUGAGCUUUCAACACCUCCAUGGGCGUGUGCUAUCCAACACCUUUGUGUGUCACCUCUGCUGGUCGAGCGGCGACAGCCAUGGCUGUCAUGGUCGCCGGAAAUCGCGAAGAGGCAGUGAGGAUUUGGAGAUCUAGGCUUUGUUUGGGAGAGAGGAGAGAGAUUAGGGACUGAGAGAUGGAGAUGGGGGUCGAGAGAGAAUCUGUGGCCAUGGCCGUGGCUCGCCGGCGGCAUUUUCCCUGGAGUUUCAGGGAUGGGGUGAGGAAGAGAGGCGUGAGAUUCUUUUUCUUUGAGCAAAAGAGGGGCGUGAGUUGUGUUUUAAAAUUGAGAAUAAAAUAAAUAAAAUAAGUUAUGUGGAAUUAUAUUGCCACGUCAGCGAUAGAGAAUUGAGCUAGAGGCUCUAGAAUUGCAGAAAUUUUGAAUGGUGAAUUCUUAGACAUGCCACACGGGACCCCGGAUUAAGGAGAAGCCAGGAAUCGCUAAUCGUAUUAUAUAUUGAUGUCCUUAGCAAUAGAAAUUUUUAUGCACAAAAUAUUAAUUUGAGGAAUAAACAUUUGCACAUUUGUUUUUAUUUAUUUAUAUCGAGCCUAAAUAGCUUAAAUUAGAAUGUUGGGCCUUUAACUAUAGUUUCUAUAAAAAAAAAUUCAGUGUUUAUUAUAUUGGGGCCAAAAUUUUAUGUAUGUCUAAGAUAGCUUUUAAGCUAUUAUUAAUUGCUAAUUCUUUUUCUUUUUCUAAGAAUUUGGAUAUACAUCCGUAGCCUCCAUUCCAAGCCAAUUAGUUACUCUUAUUUUAUUUCUAUCACAAAUUUAACUGCUUCUACUUUAAGUUUAAUUUGUUUGUGGUGAAUUUUGUAUCCACCACGCAUCAAUAUCCGACCGCCUUAUUUUUUCCAUUUUUUUCAUGUCUCAUCUACUGCGAUAUUUAUCUCACCGCCAUACUCCUUCAUUCCUCAUCAACUGCAAUAUUUAUCCACCUGCUAAGCCUUUAUAUUAUCUCUGCAUUUACAAAAUCACACAAAUCCUCAAGCAGAGUUCCAUUUCAUUCUCAAUAGCAGCAAUCGGUAACUUUGUUAUUUCUGUAUAUGAGAAAUUUAUUACUUGAAAUCUUUCAUAAGAAAUCAAAUGAAUUAUAAGAAUAAUUGAAUACAGGAAUAAUAUGAAAUUAGAAAUAUAGAAGUAGAGAGGAGAUGGGGAAAUUAUUGGUGAGGACUGUUGACGCCAGAGAGGCGAAAUAAGGGGGCUAAAUGGCGGCAGCGGCGGCAGGGGAUGGCUGCUGCCGUUCUGAUAAAAGUGAGAGAGUGGGUGGUUGGGCGACCGUUGCUUCCAGCCGAUGGAGAGAGAAGGGUGGGAGGUGCGGACGCGACAGCGAAGUCGCCGGAGAGAGGCGGCGUGAGGCAGAGAAGAGGGGGAGGGGGGGUUCUCUGUGUGUGUGUAUGUGUGUGUGCACGAUCUGUGUAUAUGUGUGUGUGAGUAGUAUAUAGGUGUGUGUUAGAAGUGUGUGCGUGUGUAUGCUGAUAUGUGUGCGUGUGUUAUAUGCUGUGUGGUGUGUAGGUUAGAUGGAGUUAAAAGGGUGGUCGGGCUUGGACCUUUUUGUUUAGUUGAUUGGGC